UACGAAGGGUGCAAGCGUUACUCGGAAUUACUGGGCGUAAAGCGUGCGUAGGUGGUGAGUUAAGUCUGUCGUGAAAGCCCCGGGCUCAACCUGGGAAUGGCGAUGGAUACUGGCUCGCUAGAGUGCGGUAGAGGAGAGUGGAAUUCCCGGUGUAGCAGUGAAAUGCGUAGAGAUCGGAGGAAGACUCAGUGCGAAGGCGGGUCUCUGGA
rnacentral:rRNA from 1 species